AUUGAACGCUGGCGGCAUGCCUUACACAUGCAAGUCGAACGGUAACAGGUCUUCGGAUGCUGACGAGUGGCGAACGGGUGAGUAAUACAUCGGAACGUGCCCGAUCGUGGGGGAUAACGAGGCGAAAGCUUUGCUAAUACCGCAUACGAUCUACGGAUGAAAGCGGGGGAUCUUCGGGCCUCGCGCGGACGGAGCGGCCGAUGGCAGAUUACGUAGUUGGUGGGAUAAAAGCUUACCAAGACGACGAUCUGUAGCUGGUCUGAGAGGAUGAUCAGCCACACUGGGACUGAGACACGGCCCAGACUCCUACGGGAGGCAGCAGUGGGGAAUUUUGGACAAUGGGCGAAAGCCUGAUCCAGCCAUGCCGCGUGCAGGAUGAAGGCCUUCGGGUUGUAAACUGCUUUUGUACGGAACGAAAAGCCUCUUUCUAAUAAAGAGGGGUCAUGACGGUACCGUAAGAAUAAGCACCGGCUAACUACGUG
rnacentral:rRNA from 1 species